CAACACACUUAGAGAGAUAAACCCCCCUCAGUUUCACAAGGCAUUUCUGUGCUUUCUUUAUGUUGUUUUGGUUUUAUUGACAGUGUUUAUGCACUACAUAGGCAAUAAAACAUAUUUAUAGUAUAGAGUUCAUCUGCCCUGAGUGCAGUAGGGCGCUGGGAGGAAGAAGAUGACAAGUACUGUACAUAUGAGAGAGAGUAAACGAUACUGAGACAGAGUUUCCCUUCAGCAGCUGAGUUUCAGUUAAAGUCGGCUCUGUUAUGAUUCAUUCAAGUUUGACAGCAAACAGAGCUGCUGAGUCAACACUAACAUGACUCUUCCUGCUGAUCUAUCACUGUGACGGCCAACAGCCAACACCGUCCUGCCACCUCACCACACCUCAGCUCGGGAUCGACAGACAAUCCUACCAUCCUGCACACAGAAGCUCCCAGGAGUAGCAGAUAAGACCUGGACCGUUCUGGACAACCUUCAAUCCCCGUGACCUCAUGUGACCUUGAGCGAGACACCGCAGGCUCCAGCGGCGCCACUCUGUGCCCGAUCCUGAACCGUGACCUCUGACCUCUCUGUGAAAGGCAGCAGCGGGAGACGAGAUAAAAGAGUUCUCACUGCUGGAUCAAUGGAGGAGCAUCGACCAACAUCCAGCACAUGCUUCUACUGACACACAUCAGCACAGGCAGACACCUCGGUUGAGCUGCUGCAACAAACUUGUGACAGUCAGAAAACAUGUUAUGCUCCUGCACCUUCCUGGAAAGAUGCCCAGUUGCAAACUCCAUGAUAGAAGUUGGUUUUGGCGCUCGGCUCAAACUCUUGGAAAGUGACUUCAAACGGCUGGCAGAGGGCGAGGAACGAGCAGGAUCACCGCACCGAAAUACUGCUGAGCGGUUUGUGUUUUUGGCUUCAGAGACGUUUCUCAAGCAGCAUGAUUAAUGAAA